CCAUCUCCUUCGGGGAGUCCGCGAAAAUAAACUGAUAUGCCAUUGUUCGCGGCAAUCUCCCAUUUUACUCACCACAACGGUAUCAGGUAGCCCCGAGGCGACCCCUUCCUUUCAAGCUCUGCGCAAAUAGAAGCGCAAGAGAAUUGAUUUCGAGAGGGUGUUCUUUAUUCCGAUGCGUUUGCCAAUCAAUAUAUGUUUUCCUUCCUUUGUAUAUCACCUUUAUAUUACCGACGGCAUAAUGUACAGAAUGUCAUCAAAAGGAUUUAAUCCUUACGCUGUACUUGCAAGAUAGUCAUAGCUAGCAUGCCUCAAUGCCAAACGAACGGUUACUAUCAUUUAUUUACUACAGCGCUG
rnacentral:sRNA from 1 species